CAUAGGAAUAAAUUAAUGUUGGCUUGGAUCCUAACUUGAUUUCUGUGGACAGAACAGAGUUCAAGACCACAGAAGAUGGAUUUUCCCUUUAUCUCUUCCAUUGCAGCCUCUGAAAGUUAAGUGCUGGGGGUUGGGGAAGGCCCUUGGGGAUGAUGGCAGCUACUCUUCUGGAGAUACCGGAUGCUGGUAGAAUCAACCCUGCCUGCUUGAGAUAAAUCCUGUCAGACUUGGUUGAUUCACCAAAUUUUGGUUCUUAAGGAGCAGAUGGGGCAUUGUGAACAGGAAUACAGGGAAAAUGCCUGCUUGCUUUGGGCAUAAAUUAUACUGCAUUUCAGACUCGAAAAGAAUUGGACUCUGAGAAAUUGAAACAGAUGAUGUUGAAAGAAACUUGAAGACUUCAUUGAUAGCUAGAACUUAAACAGAAUAAUUUCAGAUAAUGACCACUCAGAGUAUUAAUCUACCUUUGAGUACUUAAAAUGCAAAACUGCUGAUCUGAGAAAAAGAAAUCUUAACUUGUCCUUAAAGUUAGCCUCUGUAUCAGGACUGGACAGCAGCCAAUACAAUUCCAGUUUUGAAAGACGAUCAGGACAGAGCUGGGAAACUUUACUUUGUUCCAGUUUUCAUUUUUUCCAACUUUUUUGGAAAACAGGAUCAAAGAAAGGGUCUGGGAGAGAGAAAACAUUGAUCAGUGAAAAAAAAUGGUAUUUUAAUUUGCAUAAACAUUUUCUACUAAUGCUUAGCUGUCAGUGUAGUCACUAGAAAGCAAAUUUGAUUUUGCAUGUCUUGAAAGACAGAUGAAGCCAUCCAAAAAUUCAAAAUGGAAUACUAUCAGAUUCUGAAGCA